AUCCUUCAGCUGCCUCACUGUGAAUGGCGCCUAGCUGAAGGACGUCGGGUGCAAGACUCUGUGCAGGCAGAAAAAUGAUCCAAAAGUGGUUUAGGCGUGGUUUAUUUUGACGUACAUUGCGUUUUUUUUUAAAUCCCUCAGUUCUAAAGUUGAAAGGAAGUGUGUGCAUGUGGCGUUGAGAAAAGGACGCAAAGUCAAGUUUAGGGUCCACAACCUCUGCUGAAGUUGGGCUUUAGUGAGGCACGUCCACGGAAGAAGAAGCAGAAAAAGACAAACAGAAUGAACAGGCGCAAAUGCCCUGCAUUGCUGAGUCAGCCUCAUGACUUCAUCAACAUCACGGGACGGCGCGAGGGCGUGACGGCAGGCCGAGGAAGAGCUCUGCAGCUGCCGCUUUGCUUCUUUUCUGGCACGACCUUGCCCUCCAACCCCACCGCCCACGCGAGGAGUUCAUUUCUCCUCUCAUAUUGGGUGAGCAAGAGGAAGGCUGACAGGUGAACUCAAGGCUGGAGGACAGGCCCCGCCCACUACACCCUUGUAUGGAGUGGACGUGACUGGAAGCCCGGCCGUGGGUGGACAUGUGACUCAUCGGGCAGCGGGAACUCAAGCAAAGACGACGGGCGGAUGUUACGACCGCGGGAUCGACCGGCAGACGCUCAGGCGAAUGGCCGCUUACGUAGGUGCCCGCGUGCGUGUGACAGAUAAGAUGACAGAGGACUAUCAUGUGAACACCUGUUUCCAAUGGAUGGAGCAAUCCUCACUGCCCGACCGUCCCACUCCCCCCCCUUGACUCACAUGCACUGACAUGACAGUCUGUGUGUGUGCGUGUGUGUGUGUGUGUGUGUGUGUGUAUGUGUGGAGAAGAAGAAGAAGGGCGUAAUUCUCUUAGCACGUGUUUUUGCCAAGCACCGUGGAAGGCACCGUACUUUCCUGCAAAUGAGCACGAGUGCACACACGCACUCACACAAUGAGGAAACGGAAAGGAGAAAACCUCCUUUCUGUUUUACACGCUAGCCUGACGUUGUCGUGAGUUCAUUUUGGUCAGCUCUUAUUGUGCACAUAAAAAAAUGAACAUGUAUAAGUCGUUAUUUAACAAUAUGGUGACUUUGUAUCAAGGAACCCAAUUGUUGGACAAUCCAUUUUGUCUUGACAUGACAAUUGAUGAACAAUGUUGUCGACGCACUGGAAUUUUACAAUGUAAGUAACGCUGCGGAUGAAAUGCAAUAAAAGAAGAUCCAAAAAAA